CAGGCUAGUCUAUUUAUUUCAAAUAAAUUAUUAUUUUACAGGAAGGUCCACAUUAUGAACCAUGUGUGCUAUUGUUUGCUUCAAAAAUGUUCUUUGACCGCACAUUACUAUGCGUACUACACUAUUCACUAGACACUAGUGUUUAUAGUUAUUUAACAAUUAUUCGCCGAAGGCGAGGUGAAUAUCGCUGAAUAAAAACCGAGACGAAGUCGAGGUUUUUAUUCAGCGAUAUUCACCGAGCCUGAGGCGAAUAAUUGUUUUAGUAUAAUUACAAAGGUGAUUAUUUGAAAAAAAUAAUAUAACACAUCUCAAUUUUUUGAAAAUCGUUUAAUUAAAUUCAUAAAGAAAGCGGUAUGCGCAAUGAAGGCGCUCGUAUCGCCAUCAAGAUUCAAGGAUGUUUUUUGUAGUAAUUC